UGCAAAAGAUGUUAGGGAAGGGCUGAGGUCUUUGAGUUUUAUGUCAGAUUACCCCUGGAGUUAAAUAUACCAUAAAGAAAACACGCCUCUUUUAUACAGUCCGAGGUGGAUAUACCGUGUGUGCAACCAAGAGUGCUUAGACACUGUGCUCGGUAGCUUUCCUCAGGACUGCGUUCAGUCUUUCACUUUGAAGUAAUUUGCUUUCCGCCUCUAUGGAGGAGCCACCGUCUUCAGUUCUUCAAGGGUGUUUUUCUUCUCACGCACUGCAUUGUUUACCUGUUGUUAAUGGUGCCUCACAAAUAUUUACCAAAUGUUUCUAAACUGUCUGCUCAGGACUCUGGCAGCCUCCCCUUGGGUACCCAGCCUUUUAAGGUGUUUUCUAGCGCUGCAGACGAGUAUCUUAUCACAUCAGCUUACACUCCACUUACCCUGUCGCUUGUCAACUUGACUUCCAUAUCUGUGCUUCUGGGGUAAACUUCAGUUUUUGGUAACUGCUACUCAUUACAAAAGUGUAACUCCACUGACCCAAGCCUGUAGACCUCGGAACAGGAAGAGAUUUCUUAAGUAAGUCAUAAAAGGAAUGCAGUAUAAAGAAAAGCGUUUAUACGUUUUAUUAUAUUAAAAUUAACAAACUUAUACAGAAUAAAACAAUUUUAAUAUAUAACAAUGGUUUCAUGCCCUAGUUAAUUA